rnacentral:rRNA from 1 species
UCCGUAGGGGAACCUGCGGAGGGAUCAUUACACAAAUAUGAAGGCGGGCUGGAACCUCUCGGGGUUACAGCCUUGCUGAAUUAUUCACCCUUGUCUUUUGCGUACUUCUUGUUUCCUUGGUGGGUUCGCCCACCACUAGGACAAACAUAAACCUUUUGUAAUUGCAAUCAGCGUCAGUAACAAAUUAAUAAUUACAACUUUCAACAACGGAUCUCUUGGUUCUGGCAUCGAUGAAGAACGCAGCGAAAUGCGAUAAGUAGUGUGAAUUGCAGAAUUCAGUGAAUCAUCGAAUCUUUGAACGCACAUUGCGCCCUUUGGUAUUCCAAAGGGCAUGCCUGUUCGAGCGUCAUUUGUACCCUCAAGCUUUGCUUGGUGUUGGGCGUCUUGUCUCUAGCUUUGCUGGAGACUCGCCUUAAAGUAAUUGGCAGCCGGCCUACUGGUUUCGGAGCGCAGCACAAGUCGCACUCUCUAUCAGCAAAGGUCUAGCAUCCAUUAAGCCUUUUUUUCAACUUUUGACCUCGGAUCAGGUAGGGAUACCCGCUGAACUUAUGCAUAUCAAUAGGCGGGAAGGAA